rnacentral:rRNA from 1 species
CAAGGAAUUUUCUGCAAUGGGCGCAAGCCUGACAGAGCAACGCCGCGUGGGGGAUGACGCGCUUCGGUGUGUAAACCCCUUUUCCCUGGGACGAAGGCGAUGACGGUACCAGGGGAAGAAGGACCGGCUAACUACGUGCCAGCAGCCGCGGUAAUACGUAGGGUCCGGGCGUUGUUCGGAAUCACUGGGCGUAAAGCGCACGUAGGCGGACUUUCAAGUCAGGGGUGAAAUCCCGGGGCUCAACCUCGGAACUGCCUUUGAUACUGUUGGUCUCGAGUCCGGAAGAGGUGAGUGGAAUUCCUAGUGUAGAGGUGAAAUUCGUAGAUAUUAGGAAGAACACCGGUGGCGAAGGCGGCUCACUGGUCCGGUACUGACGCUGAGGUGCGAAAGCGUGGGGAGCAAACA